GGCAGAGCCCCUAGGUCCUGGAGGACAUCAGGUGGGUGUUGGGCAGAGCCCCUAGGUCCUGGAGGACAUCAGGUGGGUGUUGGGCAGAGCCCCUAGGUCCUGGAGAACAGGUAACGGAGGACAUCAGGUGGGUGUUGGGCAGAACCCCUAGGUCCUGGAGAACAGGUAAUGGAGGACAUCAGGUGGGUGUUGGGCAGAACCCCUAGGUCCUGGAGAACAGGUAACGGAGGACAUCGGUGGAUCUGGGUGUUGGGUUGAACCCCCUAGGUCCUGGAGAACAUCAGUUGGGUUUGGGUGUUGGGCAGAACCCCCUAGGUCCUGGAGAACAUCAGUUGGGUCUGGGUGUUGGGUUGAACCCCCUAGGUCCUGGAGAACAUCAGUUGGGUCUGGGUGUUGGGCAGAACCCCUAGGUCCUGGAGAUCAAGAGCAGAGUUAGAGGUUAGGAGACAGACGUCAACAAGCAAACACACAGUUUACACUUUACUGGGAGAACAUUUUGAUGGAUUAGUGCAGUGUUAUAAAUGGGAGAUAUUUACUUUUCAACACUUGGAUGGUACAGCCUACCUCAAGCUGGUCCCCCUCUGACUCCGA
ensembl:lncRNA